AUUGAACGCUGGCGGCAGGCCUAACACAUGCAAGUCGAGCGAGCGGCGGACGGGUGAGUAAAGUCUGGGAAACAGCCCGAUGGAGGGGGAUAACUACAGGAAACGGUAGCUAAUAUCGCAUACCACCAGAUAUGCCCCGAUGGGAUUAGCUAGUAGGUGGGGUAACGGCUCACCCAGGCGACGAUCCCUAGCUGGUCUGUGAGGAGGACCAGCCACACUGGAACUGAGACACGGUCCAGACUCCUACGGGAGGCAGCAGUGGGGAAUAUUGCACAAUGGGCGCAAGCCUGAUGCAGCCAUGCCGCGUGUGUGAAGAAGGCCUUCGGGUUGUAAAGCACUUUCAGCGGGGAGGCGUUACCCGCAGAAGAAGCACCGGCUUACUCCGUGCCAGCAGCCGCGGUAAUAC
rnacentral:rRNA from 1 species